ensembl:lncRNA
AGAGCUCUAAUUUGCUUGGACAACUUGACAGCCUAUUUGAGAAGAAUUGAAAGAAAUAGAUUUUUAUGUCCUAAAAUGUCCUAAGCACCCAAACAAGAGAAAAAUGUACCAUGCUUCCGCAGACAUUAAAUCUCUGUUAAGGAUGAAGAGUGAACUGCAGAGCUGGUGUCACAUCAGAAGAGCAUGAAGGCAAACACAGACCCAAGCAUCCUUGUCUCUGGGCUCUGCUGCAGUUCUGCAAGUCGUAGCUGUUCUGCUGCUUGUGCUCAGCUGCUCCUCACAGAGGUAUGGUCUCAGUCACCCAUUUCCUGACUGACCAGAAAACAGAGAAAUCUCUCAGAAGAAAUAUUUUCUAAUGUAUUUCCAGUAAAGAUGAAGUGCUUUGGCCAGUGCCUGUAGUCUGAUCUAGGCCAAUGACUUUAAUUCUUGGGAAAAGCAGGAAAAGAAGAGAGGCUGAAUUCAUUGAGGCAAACUUUAUAGCUGCAUACUUAUUUUUCCUAUUCACCAUAAUAGCUUUCAAUCACUUUUUUUUUGUCAAAACUUUUUGCUUCUACAGAUUUAUUGAAAACUUCCGUAUUGACUGCAGUGUUCUGCCAUUAGUUCUUCAAAAUUGCACGUAGUUCAGACCCUAUUCAUUGCUUCAGACCAUUACAGCAUGUAUGUGGGUGUAUUUCUCAAUCUGGGUCUAAGAAUACCAGGAACCAUUUGCUUAUUGCUUAAGAUAAUAUUCAAAUAUGAAGGUUUUUUUGUAUAGCAUUUGCAAUUGUUUUUCUCAGAAAUGUUCACUAACAGUUUUCAUCCUUUCACCUGAAAUCAAUUAUGGACUGCUAUCCAGAGGUCCUUUUACCUCCAAAAAUACGCUGCUUGUGCCAUUUAUCAGUUGAAUGGUUGACGUCUCCACUUCAGUGACCAUAGUGUCAGGCAUAUAGUUUCUUCAGUGACUCUGACUUAAAACCAUUCCAUACAUCUUCAUGUCUGAUAUAACUCAGCAUAGGAGUAAAAUUAGAAAAAUACAUUAAUAGUGAUGCGUAUUUGGAUAUUGAGAGUAGAAAGAAAUAAUGGAAGAAAUGUAACGCCUUCUGCAUUAUGAAACAUGUUUGUUGCUCAUAAGUCAUUGAAUUUGUGUUGAGAUUUCAAUCUUUCCGAAUCACAGGAAGGAGUGGGCUCUCCAAGUCCAAGACAGAACAGUGAUGCUCCUUUUAGCUCAAACUUUUACCAAAUAUCAUAUAAAAUAAUAGCUGUAUAGCAGUCUCAAUUCACAUUUUAAGGAUUCCUGUCUUAGAAUGAAACAUCUCUUGGAAUAUAUAGAAAAUACAAUUGUUAUUAUUAUUAUUAAAUCAAGAUUUAAAUCUCUAUUAAGUCAUGCUUGAUCAGCCUGAUAAGCUUCUAUGAUGACAUGACCAGCCUAAUGUAUGAGAGGAAACCAAUGGUUGUUGUCUUCCUAAAUGGUAAAUCCUAAAGUCUUCCUAAAAGACAAUAUUUUAGACUGUUUUUUUUCCCUACUGGUUGUCUGCAUUUUUUUCAUACAGACCAGUACACAGAUUUGCAUGGAAUAUUCUCAGCAGGGUUUCAGCCACGCCAUGCACGGUGUCAUUAAAACUACUCAGUCUCUGAAGGAAGUACACAGCAUCUGGAAAUCCUACCACUAUCUUUCAUUUUUGAUAGGUGCACCAUAACAACAGAUCAAAGUCAUUCUGUGAUCAGCUAAUUCAGCCAGACUUCUUUUUAUUUUAGUGCAAAGAAGAGAUGAGCAGCAACAGCCAGUGAGCUAGUUUGUGUUACCUGUAUUAUGCGCAUACAGCAUGCAUUCAGCUCUUCUCCCAGAUAUACCACUUCAGCAUUGCAAAAAGCACUUAAAAACCUGAGGAUCACUGCAACCUACAUAUACUAUAUAUAUACACACUGUACAUUAUAUAUAUGUAUAUUAUAUAUGUAUGUAUACAGUACAAACUGUUAUUGUUAGACCCAAAAACUAAUUAGUCAUUGCUUCCCGAAGCGUUAUGUGAAAAGUCUCUAGAAAUAAUGGGCUGCAUUUUCAAAUUUUAUAGGUUUACUGAGUCUAGUGUUCUCUGGUAUUUCCUGCUGCCCUUACAAGGGAAGACUGAAUCAAGUUUACAAGUCAUCUUGAAUAACACACAACCUUUCAAUGAAGUCAAUAAUUUGUAGAUUUAUAAACUCUACCCAUGAGAAAAAGACAAGGGUAGAAAGUAAAGGGAAUAGCAAGACCUUUUGCUGUUGUUUUUAAAACUAAAAUACCAAGUAUCUUAAACCUCCCAGCACAAUAUGAUUUUCUAUGUCUGUGAGGUUAGGUGAUGCACUUCUAUUUUUACGGUGAAUAUAUCUGAGUUUGACAGCAGCAAAGGAUAAGGAUUCCAAUUGAAAAUAAAUAUAUAUUUAAAUAUACGUAAGUCUAAAAUACUAUUUUUAAAUGUUAAUGCACACAUAUAGCAUUUGAAGGUUGCUAAUAAUGUGGACAGCUUUCUG